GCGUUUGUAGCUCAACGGAUAGAGCAUCUGACUACGGAUCAGAAGGUUGGGGGUUCGAGUCCCUCCAAGCGCAC
rnacentral:tRNA from 5 species